rnacentral:rRNA from 1 species
GAAGCUUGCUAGUUGCUGACGAGUGGCGGACGGGUGAGUAAUGCUUAGGGAUCUGCCUUUAGGAGGGGGAUAACCAUUGGAAACGAUGGCUAAUACCGCAUAAUGUCUACGGACCAAAGGGGGCUUCGGCUCUCACCUAGAGAGGAACCUAAGUGAGAUUAGCUAGUUGGUGAGGUAAAGGCUCACCAAGGCGACGAUCUCUAGCUGUUCUGAGAGGAAGAUCAGCCACACUGGAACUGAGACACGGUCCAGACUCCUACGGGAGGCAGCAGUGGGGAAUAUUGCACAAUGGGGGAAACCCUGAUGCAGCCAUGCCGCGUGUGUGAAGAAGGCCUUCGGGUUGUAAAGCACUUUCAGUUGUGAGGAAAGGUUAGUAGUUAAUACCUGCUAGCUGUGACGUUAGCAACAGAAGAAGCACCGGCUAACUCCGUGCCAGCAGCCGCGGUAAUACGGAGGGUGCGAGCGUUAAUCGGAAUUACUGGGCGUAAAGCGCACGCAGGCGGUUUGUUAAGCUAGAUGUGAAAGCCCCGGGCUCAACCUGGGAUGGUCAUUUAGAACUGGCAGACUAGAGUUUUGGAGAGGGGAGUGGAAUUCCAGGUGUAGCGGUGAAAUGCGUAGAUAUCUGGAGGAACAUCAGUGGCGAAGGCGACUCUCUGGCCAAAGACUGACGCUCAUGUGCGAAAGUGUGGGUAGCGAACAGGAUUAGAUACCCUGGUAGUCCACACUGUAAACGCUGUCUACUAGCUGUUUGUGUAUUUAAUACGUGAGUAGCGAAGCUAACGCGCUAAGUAG